rnacentral:rRNA from 1 species
AAACUAACCAGGAUUCCCUUAGUAGCGGCGAGCGAAGCGGGAACAGCCCAGGAUGAAAAUCUCUUUGGAGAGUUGUAGUCUGAACAAUGUCGAGGGGUCAACUAGAGUAAGUCACAUGGAAUUGUGCACCACGGAGGGUGAGAGUCCCGUCCUGCUCUCGUAAGGGCUUUCUCGCACGACAUUGUUUCAACCGAGUCGGGUAGCUUGGGAAUGCUGCUCAAAGUGGUGGUAAACUUCAUCAAAGGCUAAAUACUGGUGGGAGACCGAUAGCGAACAAGUACCGUGAGGGAAAGAUGGAAAGCACUUUGAAAAAGGGGUGAAAAGCACCUGAAACCGUCAUGGGGGAAGCGAAUUGCGCGAGUGUUGGCCUGUUGACUGCUCAGCCUUGUUUCGGCAGGGUGUAUUCAGUUCUGGCUGUGUGAAUGUGGCUGUGAUGGUAGUGGAUGAUGCACUAUUUCAUGGUGAGGGCUCCCCUCUCUCUGGGUGAGGACAUUCACGAAAUGACGCAAUUCGACCCGUCUUGAAACACGGACCAAGGAGUCUAGCACUACUGCGAGUCGAAGGGUGACUCAAAGCCCAAGGGCGAAGUGAAAGCAAAAAACACAGAAAGAUGGAAUACUGAUCGAGGAGGCAUGGCGACGUUGUCAAAAUGUUCUACCUAGAGCAGUUGUGCUGGGACCCGAAAGAUGGUGAACUAUGCUUGGAUAGGGCGAAGCCAGAGGAAACUCUGGUGGAGGCUCGUAGCGAUGCUGACGUGCAAAUCGCUCGUCGAAUUUGAGUAUAGGGGCGAAAGACUAAUCGAACCAUCUAGUAGCUGGUUCCCUCCGAAGUUUCUCUCAGGAUAGCAGACCAACACAAAAACAAGUUGUUUUGUGCGGUAAAGCGAAUGAUUAGCGCAUUUGGGGGCGCAAUGCCUUCUGGCGAUUCUCAAACUUUAAAUGCGCAAGAAAGGGAUUGGUUGCUUGGUAGAACCUCUCUUCGAAAACGUUGGUCUUGUGGGCCACUUUUGGUAAGCAGAACUGGCGAUACGGGAUGAACCGUAAGUGUGGUUAAGGCGUCAAAUUGCCCGCUUAAAGAUCCCACAAAAGGUGUUGAUUCAUCCAGACAGCAGGACGGUGGCCAUGGAAGUCGGAAUCCGCUAAGGAGUGUGUAACAACUCACCUGCCGAAUGAAUUAGCCCUGAAAAUGGAUGACGCUCAAGCGGACAGCCGACACCACACCGUUUGGGUAAGACACGGCCCAAAAUGAGUAGGAGGGCGUGGCGGUCUUAUGGUUAGGAAGGUGAGAGCGCAAGCUCCACUGAAACGGCCGCUAGUGCAGAUCUUGGUGGUAGUAGCAAAUAUUCAAGCGGGAUCCUUGAAGGGCGAAGCGGGGAAGGGUUCCACGCAAACAUUGAUUGGGCGUGGGUGAGUCGUACCUAAGCCAGCUGGUAAUUGUUGAUCAAAACUGGCGAAAGGGAAGCGGGUUAAAAUUCUCGCACACGGAUGUGGAGGCGGUGACGCAAACCGAGUCGAAGACGUCGGUGAUAGCGCUGGGCAGAGUUUUCUUUUCUGUUUGACCUGCGAGACGCAUUGUGUGGAAUCCGAUUAUCGGGAGAAACACAUGCCGAGGGGCAGAGCGCCGGGAUUGUCCGGCGUCCAGCACGCUAUUGACGACCCUUGAAAAUUCGACUGCGAUAAACCAGUGCACAAUUUCGGUUGUGUUUGAAAUUUCACGCCGUGGCGUACCGAUAACCGCAUCAGGUCCCCAAGGUGAACAGCCUCUGCUCAAUAUGAACAAUGCAGGUAAGGGAAGUCGGCAAAAUAGACCCGUAACUUUGGGAAAAGGGUUGGCUCUAGUGAGGCGGAGGACUUCUUCUCAAAACCUCCUUCUUUUGCUCUUUUUUUGGGGUGAAGGGGGGAGGGGCUGUGAAUGGAUUGUGAGGGCUUGGGUAGUGAGCGGACUUGGUGGCUAGCGAGGGCGAAAGCCUUGGUUUGGCUGCUCGGACUGUGCACUAUUUCGGGCGCUCACAGUCCGCCUCCAGCAUGUCUCAGACUAGAACUGCAACGGGCAAGGGGAAUCCGACUGUUUAAUUAAAACAAAGCAUUGCGAUGGCCGGGGACGGUGUAGACGCAAUGUGAUUUCUGCUCAGUGCUCUGAAUGUCAAAGUGAAGAGAUUCAACCAAGCGCGGGUAAACAGCGGGAGUAACUAUGACUCUCUUAAGGUAGCCAAAUGCCUCGUCAUCUAAUUAGUGACGCGCAUGAAUGGAUUAACGAGAUUCCUACUGUCCCUAUCUGCUUCUAGCGAAACCACAGCCGAGGGAACGGGCUCGGCGAAAUCGGCGGGGAAAGAAGACCCUGUUGAGCUUGACUCUAUUCUAAUUUUGUGAAGCAAGUUAGGAGGUGUAGAAUAGGUGGGAGUUGUGCAGGUUAAAAACAUGCUCCCCUUUUUGGGGCUGUGUGUUUCUGUUUUGCAACGCCAGUGAAAUACCACUACUCCUAAUCUUGCUUUACUUAUGGCGUGAGACUGCACGGAACUCAGUAUUGGCUGGGUUUUUCUUUUUGGCAUCAACCUGCAUUCAUUAGUGCGUUCUCUCUUUCUCUUCCCUUCCCGGUUGGUGAGAGAGGCGUGCUUUGGCAGGGAGCAGCGCGCGUAACAGAUUUAGGAGGGGAGUUUGGCUGGGGCGGCACAUCUUCUACAAGACAACGAAGGUGUCCAAAGAUAAGCUCAGUGAGAACAGAAAUCUCACGUAGCGCAAAAGGGUAAAAGCUUGUUUGAUUUUGAUUUUCAGUGUGAGUUGAAAACACGAAAGUGUGGCCUAUCGAUCCUUUCACGAUUCGAGGUUUGAAGCGAGAGGUGUCAGAAAAGUUACCACAGGGAUAACUGGCUUGUGGCGGCCAAGCGUUCAUAGCGACGUCGCUUUUUGAUCCUUCGAUGUCGG